rnacentral:rRNA from 1 species
UACGUAGGUGGCAAGCGUUGUCCGGAUUUACUGGGCGUAAAGAGCGCGCAGGCGGUCGAUUUAGUCGCGUGUGAAAGCCCCCGGCUCAACUGGGGGAGGGUCACGCGAUACUGAUCGACUCGAAGGCAGGAGAGGGUAGUGGAAUUCCCGGUGUAGUGGUGAAAUGCGUAGAUAUCAGGAGGAACACCGGUGGCGAAGGCGGAUCUCUGGGCCAUUACUGACGCU